UGCAGCUUUGUCAAAUUCAGUGCUCCCUGUUCAGUAGGUUGUACUGGCCAAAAUGGCUGCAACAGUGACUCUGUAGUUCAUGGGCCCCAUGUUUCUUCACCACAGACUCUGGGGAUAAAUAUGUACUACAGACAGAA
ensembl:snoRNA